UUAGCUCAUAUAUGUAUGUAAUGGGAUCGUUUGCCUACGUUUGCCGCUAGGGGCGCUGUUCCAACUGCAUACAAAGCUGAGUUA
rnacentral:pre_miRNA from 1 species